rnacentral:ncRNA from 1 species
CAAGAUAAAGCCAAACCUGCCGUGAGACAGGGCGGGAAGCAACGGGUCUCAAUAGAUAGCCGAGUUGCCUCUU